AAAUAAUUUUCUUAAAAAUUGCUAUUUUUGGAAAGUUUUCAUUUCUUAGAGAACUUUUAUAUAUUUGAGUUUGUAAUUUAGAAACUAGGAUAGCAAGAAUAUUAGUGUAUAGAUGAGUAUUAUUUCAGAAUUUUUCAUCAAUAUGUUGUAUUUUUAAAUAAUUUUCUUAAAAGCUACUAUUUUUGGAAAGUUUUUUUUUUAGAGAAAUUUUAAAGAUUUGGGUUUGUGAUUUAGAAAUUAGGAUAACAAAUAUAUUUGAGGAUAGAUGAGUAUUUUUUGAGAGUUUUUUAUCAAUAUAUUGUUUUUUUAAAUAAUUUUCUUAAAACCUGCUAUUUUUGGAAAGUUUUUAUUUUUAAGAGAACUUUUAUAUAUUUAAGUUUGUGAUUUAGAAAUUAGGAUAACAUGAAUAUUUGUGGAUAAAUGAGUAUUCUUUCAGAGUUUUUCAUCAAUAUAUUGUAUUUUAAAAUAAUUUUCUUUAAAACUACUAUAUUUGGAAAGUUUUUAUUUUUUAGAGAACUUUUAUAGAUUUCAGUUUGUGAUUUAGAAAUUAGGAUAACAAGAAUAUUUGUGGAUAUAUGAAUAUUCUUUCAGAUUUUUUCAUCAAUAUAUUGUAUUUUUAAAUAAUUUUCCUAAAAACUUGCUAUUUUUGGAAAGUUUUAAUGUUAUAGAGAAACUUUAUAGAUUUGGGUUUGUGAUUUAGAAAUUAGGAUAACAAGAAUAUUUGUGUUUAGAUUAGUAUUCUUUUGGAAUUUUUCAUGAAUAAGUUGUAUUUUUAAAUAAUUUUCUUAAAAACUGCUAUUUUUGCAAAGUUUUCAUUUUUUAGAGAACUUUUAUACAUUUGAUUUUGUGAUUUAGACAUUAGGAUUACAAGAAUAUUUGUGGAUAGAUGAGUAUUCUUUCAGAGUUUUUCAUCAAUAUAUUGUAUUUUUAAAUAAUUUUCUUAAAAGCUGCUAUUUUUGAAAAGUUUUUAUUUCUUAGAAAACUUUUAUAGAUUUGAGUUUGUGAUUUUCAAAUAAGGAUAACAAGAAUAUUUGUGGAUAGAUGAGUAUUCUUUCAGAGUUUUUCAUCAAUAUAUUGUAUUUUUAAAUAAUUUUCUUAAAAGCUGCUAUUUUUGAAAAGUUUUUAUUUCUUAGAAAACUUUUAUAGAUUUGAGUUUGUGAUUUUCAAAUAAGGAUAACAAGAAUAUUUGUGGAUAGAUGAGUAUUCUUUCAGAGUUUUUCGUCAAUAUAUUGUUUUUAAAAAUAACUAUCUUAAAAGCUGCUAUUUUUGGAAAGUUUUCAUUUUUUAGAGAACUUUUAUGGAUUUCGGUUUGUAUUUUAAAAAUUAGGAUAACAAAUAUAUGUGUGGAUAGAUGAGUAUGCUUUCAUAAUUUUUCAUGAAUAAGUUGUAUAUCUUUCAGAGUUUUUCAUGAAUAAGUUGUAUUUUUAAAUAAUUUUCUUAAAAACUGCUAUUUUUGGAAAGUUUUCAUUUUUUAGAGAAAUUUUAUAGAUUUGGGUUUGUGAUUUACACAUUAGGAUAACAAAUAUAUUUAUGGAUAGAUGAGUAUUCUUUCAGAAUUUUUCAUCAUUAUAUUAUUUUUUUAAAUAAUUAUCUUAAAAGCUGUUAUUUUUGGAAAGUUUUCAUUUUUUAGAGAACUUUUAUAGAUUUGGGUUUGUGAUUUAGAAAUUUGGAUAACAAAUAUAUUUAUGGAUAAAUGAGUAUGCUUUCAAACAUUUUCAUGAAUAAGUUGUAUUUUUAAAUAAUUUUCUUAAAAUUUGCUAUUUUGGAAAGUUUUCAUUUUUUUAGAGAACUUUUAUAGAUUUGAGUUUGUGAUUUAGAAAUUAGGAUAACAAGAAUAUUUGUGGAUAUAUUAAUAUUCUUUCAGAAUUUUUCAUCAAUAUAUUGUAUUUUAAAUAUUUUUCUUAAAAACUGCUAUUUUUGGACAGUUUUCAUUUCUUAGAGAACUUUUAUAGAUUAGAGUUUGUGAUUUUCAAAUAAGGAUAACAAGAAUAUUUGUGGAUUGAUGAGUAUGCUUUCAGAAUUGUUCAUGAAUAAGUUGUAUUCUUAAAUAAUUUUCUUAAAAACUGCUAUUUUUGAAAAGUUUUCAUUUUUUAAAGAAAUUUUAUAGAUUUGGGUUUGUGAUUUAGAAAUUAGGAUAACAAAUAUAUUUGUGGAUAAAUGAGUAUUCUUUCAGAUUUUUUCAUCAACAUAUUGUAUUUUUAAAUAAUUUUCUUCAAACCUGCUAUUUUUGGAAAGUUUUCAUUUUUAAGAGAACUUUUUAUAGAUUUGAGUUUGUGAUUUAGAUUUUAGGAUAACAAGAAUAUUUUUGGAUAGAUGAGUAUUCUUUCAGAAUUUUUCAUCAUUAUAUUGUAUUUUUAAAUAAUUUUCUUAAAAUCUGCUAUUUUGGGAAAGUUUUCAUUUUUAUGAGAACUUUUUUAGAUUUGGGUUUGUGAUUUAGAAAUUAGGAUAACAAAUAUAUUUGUGGAUAGAUGAGUAUUCUUUCAGAAUUUUUCAUCAUUAUAUUGUAUUUUUAAAUAAUGUUUUUUAAAAAAGCUAUUUUUGGAAAAUUUUCAUUUCUUAGAGAACUUUUAUAGAUUUUAGUUUUUGAUUUAGAAAUUAGGAUAACAAGAAUAUCUGUGGAUAGAUGAGUUUUCUCUCAGAGUUUUUCAUCAAUAUAUUAUUUUUUAAAAUAAUUAUCUUAAAAGCUGCUAUUUUUGGAAAGUUUUCAUUUUUUAGAGAACUUUUAUACAUUUGAGUUUGUGAUUUAGAAAUUAGGAUAACAAGUAUAUUUGUGGAUAGAUGAGUAUUCUUUUAAAGUUUUUCAUCAAUAUAUUAUUAUUUUAAAUAAUUAUCUUAAAAGCUGUUAUUUUUGGAAAGUUUUCAUUUUUUAGAGAAUUUUUAUACAUUUGAGUUUGUGAUUUAGAAAUUAGGAUAACAAAUAUAUUUGUGGAUAGAUGAGUAUGCUUUCAUAAUUUUUCAUGAAUAAGUUGUAUUUUUAAAUAAUUUUCUUAAAAUCUGCUAUUUUGGGAAAGUUUUCAUUUUUAUGAGAACUUUUUUAGAUUUGGGUUUGUGAUUUAGAAAUUAGGAUAACAAAUAUAUUUGUGGAUAGAUGAGUAUUCUUUCAGAGUUUUUCAUCAAUAUAUUGUAUUUUUAAAAAAAUUUCUUAAAAACUGCUCUUUUUGGAAAGUUUUUAUUUUUUAGAGAACUUUUAUACAAUUGAGUUUGUGAUUUAGAAAUUAGGAUAACGAAUAUAUUUGUGGAUAGAUGAGUAUGCUUUGAGAGUUUUUCAUGAAUAAGUUGUAUUUUUAAAUAUUUUUUUAA
rnacentral:lncRNA from 1 species